rnacentral:rRNA from 1 species
GACGAACGCUGGCGGCGUGCCUAAUACAUGCAAGUAGAACGCUGAAGCGAGGAGCUUGCUCUUCUUGGAUGAGUUGCGAACGGGUGAGUAACGCGUAGGUAACCUGCCUGGCAGCCGGGGAUAACUAUUGGAAACGAUAGCUAAUACCGCAUAAAAUUGAUUAUUGCAUGAUACUUAAUUGAAAGACGCUACUGCAUCACUACCAGAUGGACCUGCGUUGUAUUAGCUAGUUGGUGAGGUAACGGCUCACCAAGGCGACGAUACAUAGCCGAGCUGAGAGGGUAGACAGCCACACUGGAAGUGAGACACGGCCCAGACUCCUACAGGGAGCAGCGGAAGAGAAGCUUCGGCAAUGAGGGGAACCCUGACCAAACAAAGCCGCGUGAGAGGAGAAGGUUUUCGGGGCGUAAAGCACUGUUGUAAGAGAAGAACGGAGGUGAGAGUGGAAAGUUCACGCUGUGACAGUAUCUUACCAGAAAAGGACGGCUAACUACGUG